UUUCCGCAGGUGAACCUGCAGAAGGAUCAUUCAUAAUAAAGUGUUUUAUGGCACUUUUUAAAAAUCCAUAUCCACCUUGUGUGCAAUGUUAGAUCUCGUCAAUCUUGGCGAGAUUUUUAUACAUCAACUCAUUCUUUAACUAAUUUGUCUGAAAAAUAUUAUGAAUACUUAAUUCAAAAUACAACUUUCAACAACGGAUCUCUUGGCUCUC
rnacentral:misc_RNA from 1 species